GCUAAGUGCUAAAAGGUUCGAACUACGUACGCUGCAGCACAUUGAUCUACACGUCGAAACCUAUCGCCUAAUAUAAAAAUUUUCUUAAAAUGUCACUUAGUUUAGAUUUUAAAAUGACGCAUACAGUGCGAUCUGAGUCAACAAUUUGUAAACUAACACGAACACCAUUCUAAGUGCCACAUCGAACUGUACACGAUGUUUGCCAUCUCACUCACUCGCGCGCAUAGAGCGCAAUGUGCCACAUCGAACUCUGUUCGCCGUUGAUCGGCUAAGCAUACGGUUGCGACGCUGCGACCGUUGCGUACAAAAUAUUAACAUGUUAUUACGUUACUUUCGCCUCAAUUUUAAGUUUUUAGUAAGAAUUUUGUUGGAUGUUAUUCUGUGUACCGAUUUACCGCAAAUAUAAGUUUGUUUAUAAUGACGUGGAUACGUGCGAGAUGGUUGGAAUCCUUAAAAUCAGGGGCAAAGAGAUCGCGUCCGGAUUGCACCGAAACAGAGAUAAAUAAACCGGCCACGAUAAAUGAUGAGUCACCACUAAGAAUGGACGAAACAUAUUGCGAAGAAUCAACUGCGUUUGUGGAGCCAGAAGAUACGCAUUCCACUAAUACAAGCAUACGUGUGUGUCCCAUAAUAAAUUGGCCUGAACUGACUAUUGUGCUAGCGAAAUGAAACUAUUCUUACUUUUUAAUAUAGUAAUUUUUAAUGUACAACAACUUAAAA